GACGAACGCUGGCGGCGUGCUUAACACAUGCAAGUCGAGCGGAAAGGCCACUUCGGUGGUACUCGAGCGGCGAACGGGUGAGUAACGCGUGAGUAAUCUGCCCUUCACUCUGGGAUAGCCACCGGAGACGGUGAGUAAUACCGGAUACGACCACUCCACGCCGGUGGGUGUGGUGGAAACUGUUCGGGUGGGGGAUGUGCUCGCGGCCUAUCAGCUUGUUGGUGGGGUAAUGGCCUACCAAGGCUUCGACGGGUAGCCGGCCUGAGAGGGUGACCGGCCACACUGGGACUGAGACACGGCCCAGACUCCUACGGGAGGCAGCAGUGGGGAAUAUUGGACAAUGGGCGGAAGCCUGAUCCAGCAACGCCGCGUGAGGGAUGACGGCCUUCGGGUUGUAAACCUCUUUCAGCACCGACGAAGCGCAAGUGACGGUAGGUGCAGAAGAAGGACCGGCCAACUACGUGCCAGCAGCCGCAGUAA
rnacentral:rRNA from 1 species